rnacentral:rRNA from 1 species
CAAGUCGAACGAAGCACUUUAUUUGAUUUCCUUCGGGACUGAUUAUUUUGUGACUGAGUGGCGGACGGGUGAGUAACGCGUGGGUAACCUGCCCUGUACAGGGGGAUAACAGUUGGAAACGGCUGCUAAUACCGCAUAAGCGCACGGCAUCGCAUGAUGCAGUGUGAAAAACUCCGGUGGUAUAAGAUGGACCCGCGUUGGAUUAGCUAGUUGGUGAGGUAACGGCCCACCAAGGCGACGAUCCAUAGCCGACCUGAGAGGGUGACCGGCCACAUUGGGACUGAGACACGGCCCAAACUCCUACGGGAGGCAGCAGUGGGGAAUAUUGCACAAUGGGCGAAAGCCUGAUGCAGCGACGCCGCGUGAGCGAAGAAGUAUUUCGGUAUGUAAAGCUCUAUCAGCAGGGAAGAUAAUGACGGUACCUGACUAAGAAGCACCGGCUAAAUACGUGCCAGCAGCCGCGGUAAUACGUAUGGUGCAAGCGUUAUCCGGAUUUACUGGGUGUAAAGGGAGCGCAGGCGGUGCGGCAAGUCUGAUGUGAAAGCCCGGGGCUCAACCCCGGUACUGCAUUGGAAACUGUCGUACUAGAGUGUCGGAGGGGUAAGCGGAAUUCCUAGUGUAGCGGUGAAAUGCGUAGAUAUUAGGAGGAACACCAGUGGCGAAGGCGGCUUACUGGACGAUAAC